rnacentral:rRNA from 1 species
AGUGAACGCUGGCGGCGUGCCUAAUACAUGCAAGUCGAACGCGAAAGUCCUUCGGGAUGAGUAAAGUGGCGCACGGGUGAGUAAUGGUUGAGAACGUGCCCUGAGGUGGGGAAUAACAGUUGGAAACGACUGCUAAUACCGCAUGGUAUCGAAAGAUUAAAGGUGGGGACCGCAAGGCCUACCGCCACAGGAUCGGCUCAACUCCCAUUAGCUAGUUGGCAGGGUAAUGGCCUACCAAGGCAACGAUGGGUAUCUGGUCUUAGAGGAUGAUCAGACACACUGGAACUGAGACACGGUCCAGACUCCUACGGGAGGCAGCAGUAGGGAAUAUUGCACAAUGGAGGAAACUCUGAUGCAGCAACGCCGCGUGAGUGAAGAAGGCCCUUGGGUCGUAAAGCUCUUUAGCCUGGAAAGAAGUGCCCUUAAGUGAACAAUUUGAGGGUGUGACGGUACCAGGAGAAUAAGGUCCGGCUAA